AAGCGGUCCAAGUUAGUUUCUCAAGCUGGUUUUAAACAUCAUGACAGUAAAGGUGUCACGAGCACUGCUGAAGUUUUGCAUGUUAAAGAGAAUAUUAAAGCUGAGGAAGACUCAUAAAACCAUGAGAGGAGAAAAGAGGAGGAGAACAUCACACAGGUUUGUGUUUAAAAAAACAUAUUGGACAAUAAUCAGUAGGGGUUAAUGCAUUUAUGCUGAUAUUGAGAAUAUUGUAAUCUUGUCGUUUCAGAUAAUGGAGCACAAACUAUUUACACUCCUCGUUUUAAUUGGUAGGUUUUAUUCAGUGUGUGUGUGUGU